UGGGAAAACUUCGUUGGGAUUAUUACUCUUCUGGACAUUAACUCGACCAUCAGUUUUAUGGAGGAGAACAAUGCGGAUAAUGCCUUUCGUUGUCUGCAAUUUGUUAUUAAUGAGCAGAGAAAAUUAAUUUUAGUUAAUUAUGAUUUGAAUUCAGAGAGUUGCUGAAGGUUGUGAUUUAAGUUAAUAUUGAUGUGGUUUUUGUUUUGUCCUUUCUGUUGGUUAGUUUUAAUUUGAAUUGCUAGAGGGACAAGGAAGAUAAUAAAUUCAAA
rnacentral:lncRNA from 1 species